GAUCAAGAACGCAGCAAAAUGCGAUAAGUAAUGUGAAUUGCAGAAUUCAGUGAAUCAUCGAAUCUUUGAACGCACAUUGCGCCCGCCAGUAUUCUGGCGGGCAUGCCUGUUCGAGCGUCAUUUCAACCCUCAAGCACAGCUUGGUGUUGGGACUCGCGUUAAUUCGCGUUCCCCAAAUUGAUUGGCGGUCACGUCGAGCUUCCAUAGCGUAGUAGUAAAACCCUCGUUACUGGUAAUCGUCGCGGCCACGCCGUUAAACCCCAACUUCUGAAUGUUGACCUCGGAUCAGGUAGGAAUACCCGCUGAACUUAAGCAUAUCAAUAAGCGGAGGA
rnacentral:misc_RNA from 1 species